GACGAACGCUGGCGGCGUGCCUAAUACAUGCAAGUCGAGCGCUCAGGGGUGGUGCUUGUUCCUACUGGAUGAGCAGCGAACGGGUGAGUAACGCGUGGGUAAUCUGCCUUUAAGCGGGGGACAACAUCUGGAAACGAAUGCUAAUACCGCAUAAAAACUUUAAACACAAGUUUCAAGUUUGAAAGAUGCUAUUGCUUCACCCAAUGAUGAUCCCCCGUUUUAAUUGCCAGUUGGGGAGGGAAAGGCCCACCCAGGGGAUGAUACAUAACCGACCCGAGAGGGUGGUCUGCCCCAUUGGGAAUGAGACACGGCCCAAACCCCCACGGGAGGGAGCAGUAGGGAAUCUUUGGCAAUGGACGAAAGUCUGACCGGGCAAAGCCGCGGGAGGGAAGAAGGGUUUCGGGUCGUAAAACUCUGUUGGUAGGGAAGAACGUUGGUGAGAGUGGAAAGCUCAUAAAGUGACGGUAACUACCCAGAAAGGGACGGCUAACUACGUG
rnacentral:rRNA from 1 species